ensembl:lncRNA EEF1A1-AS1 EEF1A1 antisense RNA 1
CUGCUUCCUAGGGAGGGAGGCUGGGGCGGCAAGGCGGGCGCGGGUGGUCCUUGCCCCGCGCCAGCUCGCCAGGCCACGUCGCUGGCGUUUUUCCAGCGCUGGGUCACCUGCGGGCCGGCGGGUUCCCGCGGCGAACAGCUGGGUGGUAUGGAUACGCCGCUCGAGCCUCCGCAGCGUCAGGUCGCCAGGGUCCGCCCUGCCACUCGCCCCACCUUGAGCUACCUCUGAAGAAAAGAUGAUGGCCCGGUGCGGUGGCUCACGCCUGUAAUCCCAGCACUUUGGGAGGCCGAGUCAGGCGGAUCACCUGAGGAAGAAGACGUAUAAGCCUUUAAGCUUAGUAAACCUUUGGGUUCUGUGCAUUUGGCCAUCAUUCCAGUUGUCAGCAUUGUGCAGGACAGGUACUUGAGGUCUGUUUUUGUGAACCAGGGACCCGAGGCACAGAGCAAGUAAGUGGAUAGAAACAAAUGCUGUAAGAACAAAUAAUUGUAUUUAAAAAUUUAUGAUUUUCAUUUAUUUUUCAGAGGAAGCAUUAAUGAGUAGGUAGUAAUUUCUGGGU